rnacentral:rRNA from 1 species
UCUUAUUUACAUGCCUAAAACAUUAAUUCAUUGGAUCCCAUCAAAACUAUUUAGUUAAAUGCACUUGGGCUAGAGUAAUACUGGGAUGGGUGACCUCUUAGGAAGUCCCAGUGUUUUACAUGCC